GCCUACGGGGGGCAGCAGUGGGGGAUAUUGCACAAUGGGGGGAACCCUGAUGCAGCGACGCCGCGUGGGUGAAGAAGCGCCUCGGCGCGUAAAGCCCUGUCAGCAGGGAAGGAAAUGACGGUACCUGAAGAAGAAGCCCCGGCUAACUACGUGCCAGCAGCCGCGGUAAUACGUAGGGGGCAAGCGUUAUCCGGAUUUACUGGGUGUAAAGGGGGCGCAGACGGCGAUGCAAGCCAGGAGUGAAAGCCCGGGGCCCAACCCCGGGACUGCUCUUGGAACUGCGUGGUUGGAGUGCAGGAGGGGCG
rnacentral:rRNA from 1 species